UUAUCAGUUAGGUUAAUUCUUUUCUGUUUUUUUGGGGGGAGAAAUGGAGCCUGAUGAUUUGGGGUAAUGAGGUUCUGAUUAUACUUUUCUGGUUUGUGUAGUACAACAAUCUGUACACUAACCAUAUCUGAU